rnacentral:misc_RNA from 1 species
UCUCGGCUUAUCACCGGCAGUCCCCUUAGAGUGCCCAACCAAAUGAUGGCAACUAAGGGCGAGGGUUGCGCUCGUUGCGGGACUUAACCCAACAUCUCACGACACGAGCUGACGACGGCCAUGCAUCACCUGUCACCGAGUUCCUUACGGCACAAUUUCCUUUCGGAAACCUUCUCGGGAUGUCAAACCUGGGUAAGGUUCUUCGCUUACCAUCGAAUUAAACAACACGCUCCACCGCUUGUGCGGGUCCCCGUCAAUUCCUUUAUGUUUUAAGCUUGCGCUCGUACUCCACAGGCGGGAUGCUUAACGCGUUAGCUUCGCUACAAGAAGGGUCGAUACUCCUUACAGCUAGCGCCCAACGUUUACAGCGUGGACUAC